GACGAACGCUGGCGGCGUGCUUAACACAUGCAAGUCGAACGGUAAGGCUCCAGCUUGCUGGGGUACACGAGUGGCGAACGGGUGAGUAACACGUGGGUGACCUGCCCUGCACUUCGGGAUAAGCCUGGGAAACUGGGUCUAAUACCGGAUAGGACCGCACCGUGAGGGUGUGGUGGAAAGUUUUUUCGGUGUGGGAUGGGCCCGCGGCCUAUCAGCUUGUUGGUGGGGUAAUGGCCUACCAAGGCGGCGACGGGUAGCCGGCCUGAGAGGGUGGACGGCCACAUUGGGACUGAGACACGGCCCAGACUCCUACGGGAGGCAGCAGUGGGGAAUAUUGCACAAUGGGCGGAAGCCUGAUGCAGCGACGCCGCGUGGGGGAUGACGGCCUUCGGGUUGUAAACUCCUUUCACCAUCGACGAAGGGUUUCUGACGGUAGAUGGAGAAGAAGCACCGGCUAACUACGUGCCAGCAGCCGCGGUAAUACGUAGGGUGCGAGCGUUGUCCGGAAUUACUGGGCGUAAAGAGCUCGUAGGUGGUUUGUCGCGUCGUCUGUGAAAUUCCGGGGCUUAACUCCGGGCGUGCAGGCGAUACGGGCAUAACUUGAGUACUGUAGGGGAGACUGGAAUUCCUGGUGUAGCGGUGAAAUGCGCAGAUAUCAGGAGGAACACCGGUGGCGAAGGCGGGUCUCUGGGCAGUAACUGACGCUGAGGAGCGAAAGCAUGGGGAGCGAACAGGAUUAGAUACCCUGGUAGUCCAUGCCGUAAACGGUGGGCGCUAGGUGUGGGUUUCCUUCCACGGGAUCCGUGCCGUAGCUAACGCAUUAAGCGCCCCGCCUGGGGAGUACGGCCGCAAGGCUAAAACUCAAAGGAAUUGACGGGGGCCCGCACAAGCGGCGGAGCAUGUGGAUUAAUUCGAUGCAACGCGAAGAACCUUACCUGGGCUUGACAUAUACAGGAUCGCGCCAGAGAUGGUGUUUCCCUUGUGGCUUGUAUACAGGUGGUGCAUGGUUGUCGUCAGCUCGUGUCGUGAGAUGUUGGGCUAAGUCCCGCAACGAGCGCAACCCUUGUCUUAUGUUGCCAGCACGUUGUGGUGGGGACUCGUAAGAAACUGCCGGGGUUAACUCGGAGGAAGGUGGGGAUGACGUCAAAUCAUCAUGCCCCUUAUGUCCAGGGCUUCACACAUGCUACAAUGGUCGGUACAGUGGGUUGCCAGUCCGUGAGGGCGAGCUAAUCCCGCAAAGCCGGUCUCAGUUCGGAUCGGGGUCUGCAACUCGACCCCGUGAAGUCGGAGUCGCUAGUAAUCGCAGAUCAGCAACGCUGCGGUGAAUACGUUCCCGGGCCU
rnacentral:rRNA from 1 species